GACGAACGCUGGCGGCGUGCUUAACACAUGCAAGUCGAGCGGUAAGGCCUCUUCGUUGGUACACGAGCGUCGGACGGGGGAGUGAGAAGUAGGUGAGCAGCCCUCACCUCUGGGAUAGGCCUGGGAAAGUGAGUCUAAUGCCGAAUAUGACCUUUCCUCUGAUGCGGGUUGGUGGAAAGUUUUUUCCGCUGGUGAUGGGCCCGCUGGCUAUCUGCUUGCUGGUGGGGUGAGUGCCUACCAAGGCGGCGACGGGUAGCCGGCCUGAGUGGGCGACCGGCCAAAGUGGGAGUGAGACACGGGCAAGACGCCUACGGGAGGCAGCAGGGGGGAAUAUUGCGCAAGGGGCGGAAGGCUGAAGCAGCGACGGCGCGUGGAGGACGGCGGCCAGGGGGUAGUAAACCUCUUACGAACCCGACGAAUUUGGACGGUAGGUGUAGAAGAAGCAACGGCCAACUACGUG
rnacentral:rRNA from 1 species